UACGGGGGGGCAAGCGUUGUUCGGAAUUACUGGGCGUAAAGGGGCUCGUAGGCGGCCCUCUCAGUUCGGAUGUGAAAUCCCCAGGCUUAAACCUGGGAACGGCAUCCGACUACUGGAGGGCUUGAAUUCGGGAGAGGGAUGCAGAAUUCCAGGUGUGAGCGGUGAAUGCGUAGAUAUACUGGAGGAAUACCGGUGGCGAAGGCGGCAUCCUGGACCGAGAUUGACGCUGAGGAGCGAAAGCUA
rnacentral:rRNA from 1 species